CCUACGGGAGGCUGCAGUGGGGAAUCUUGGACAAUGGGCGCAAGCCUGAUCCAGCCAUGCCGCGUGAGUGAAGAAGGCCGUAGGGUUGUAAAACUCUUUCGCCGGAGAAGAUAAUGACGGUAUCCGGAGAAGAAGCCCCGGCUAACUUCGUGCCAGCAGCCGCGGUAAUACGAAGGGGGCUAGCGUUGUUCGGAAUUACUGGGCGUAAAGCGUACGUAGGCGGAUUUGUAAGUAGGGGGUGAAAUCCCCAGGCUCAACCUGGGAACUGCCUUCUAGACUGCAAGUCUUGAGAUCAGGAGAGGCGAGUGGAAUUCCGAGUGUAGAGGUGAAAUUCGUAGAUAUUCGGAGGAACACCAGUGGCGAAGGCGACUCGCUGGACUGAUACUGACGCUGAGGUACGAAAGCGUGGGGAGCAAACAGGAUUAGAUACCCUUGUAGUC
rnacentral:rRNA from 1 species